UAAGUCGGUGAAAGCCGGCGAGUGUAGCAAUACACAAUUUGCACAGGUGCUGCAUGGCUGUCGUCAGCUCGUGUCGUGAGAUGUUGGGUUAAGUCCCGUAACGAGCGCAACCCUGUGAACUGUUGCCACCGGCCUUCGGGCCGAGCACUCUGUUCAGACUGCCCUGUGAAACGGGGAGGAAGGUGGGGAUGACGUCAAGUCAGCAUGGCCCUUACGGCUAGGGCUGCACACGUACUACAAUGCUCAGUACAGAACGAACCGAAACCGCGAGGUGGAGGAAAUCCCAAAAACUGAGCUCAAUUCGGAUUGGAGGCUGCAACUCGCCUCCAUGAAGCCGGAAUCGCUAGUAAUGGCGCAUCAGCUACGGCGCCGUGAAUACGUUCCCGGGCCUUGUACACACCGCCCGUCACAUCAUGGAAGUCACUUGUACCCGAAGUGCAUGCGCCAACCGCAAGGAGGCAGUGCCCUAAGGUAUGGGUGGUAACUGGGAUGAAGUCGUAACAAGGUAGGCGUAGAUGA
rnacentral:rRNA from 1 species